GGAAUCCUGUCCUGUGGUUGUGGCUGUGGAAGGACAAAGUAUGUCGGAGAAUUUCCUCAAUCAGUUUUCCAGCCUCUCUAGUUACUUUGGGACUUUCGGAAUGUAAUUUAGGUGAUAAUGCAUUUCUACAUGUUGAUUUAAGCAAGCUCAAUGCUCUGAAAGACUUGAAUUUGAGCGGAAAUCCAAUUUCGUAUCCCCCAGAGAGCAUUAUACAUCUUAG
rnacentral:misc_RNA from 1 species